UGCCAUCAAACUUGCUCAGCCUAUCUCCAUGGGUGAUAUUUUUAUAAGUCUGUUUUCCUUUGCACUUGCAAUGGGCUAGGAAGGCAUGCAGAGCAGUCACUACUAGUUAGUUGAUAGCUAGCAACAUCUUGCAGUAAAGAUGAAAGAAAUUAGAACUGGGAACCUGAAGAACUUCUGGAUAUUUCACCAAUGAACUGGAUUUUUUGAGUGGGAAAAGGACUAUUGGAUUCAGGGAAGAGAAUUUGAAAGUUCUUCAGAAGUUCUUUGGAAGGUUCUUGCUAGACACAAAGACUAAAAAACAUCUAAGUGAACUUCCAACAGCUGGUGGGUUAGAUCUUCAGCUGCUGUAGAUUUCAACAUAUUGGGCUCAAUUUUUCCAUGUCUCUUUGGAUGUUUUAUAAGUUUGGCUGUUGUCCCCCACAGAAGUAAACAUCUGGACACAUCUGUGGGCUUGGGCUGCUUGGGACAGCCCUUGAAGGAGCAGGAAUGUGCCACAAACCCAAUGAACGGAAAUGGCUCUGGAAGAGACAGAGCAACCCAGGGUCUGGCAGAGGGAUGUGCUUGCAGAGGAAAAAUGGUAAACAUAUAGAGAAAUCUGACUUGAAUUUAGGAAAGGCCUCAAAGAGUGAGGAGACAGAACCUGAAUCAUCAGUAACAAAAAAGAUUUUGUCCAGUCUUGUAAAUUUGUUCGUUUGACAGCAUACUUUUAUAAGAGGAAAUGAGAAAUAAAGAAAAAAAGUAAAAAAGUAUAAGUAAAUUAAAGAGUGAGGAAUUAACUAAAGGCUUUAGAAAUGUUUAGGCUGCUAUUUCUUUCACCUAUCGUAAGUCUCUAAAGAGGUGC